AUUGAACGCUGGCGGCAGGCCUAACACAUGCAAGUCGAGCGGCAGCGGAAAGUAGCUUGCUACUUUGCCGGCGAGCGGCGGACGGGUGAGUAAUGUCUGGGAAACUGCCUGAUGGAGGGGGAUAACUACUGGAAACGGUAGCUAAUACCGCAUAACGUCGCAAGACCAAAGAGGGGGACCUCCGGGCCUCUUGCCAUCAGAUGUGCCCAGAUGGGAUUAGCUAGUAGGUGGGGUAACGGCUCACCUAGGCGACGAUCCCUAGCUGGUCUGAGAGGAUGACCAGCCACACUGGAACUGAGACACGGUCCAGACUCCUACGGGAAGCAGCAGUGGGGAAUAUUGCACAAUGGGCGCAAGCCUGAUGCAGCCAUGCCGCGUGUAUGAAGAAGGCCUUAGGGUUGUAAAGUACUUUCAGCGGGGAGGAAGGUGUUGAGGUUAAUAACCUCAGCAAUUGACGUUACCCGCAGAAGAAGCACCGGCUAACUCCGUGCCAGCCGCCGCAGUAA
rnacentral:rRNA from 1 species